rnacentral:hammerhead_ribozyme from 1 species
AUCCAGCUGACGAGUUUCAAAUAGGACGAAACGUGAAUCCUGGAU